rnacentral:rRNA from 1 species
UACGUAGGUGGCCAGCGUUGUCCGGAUUUACUGGGCGUAAAGGAUUCGUAGGCGGACAUUUAAGUCAGAUGUGAAAUACCCGAGCUUAACUUGGGUGCUGCAUUUGAAACUGGGUGUCUAGAGUGCAGGAGAGGUAAGUGGAAUUCCUAGUGUAGCGGUGAAAUGCGUAGAGAUUAGGAAGAACACCAGUGGCGAAGGCGACUUACUGGACUGUAACUGACGCUGAGGCAUGAAAGCGUGGGGAGCAAACAGG